GUUCCCGCAUUUCCUUCUUCAACGUGAGGGAGUCUGCAGUACCUCCUUCCUUAUAUUUGGAGUUUCCCCUUCGAGCUUAGUAUUCUUCCUAUUCUUGGAGUUAAUUUCCUAAUCGAAUUGGAUUACACAUUCCGAGUUCGUCUCUGCCCUUUCUCUUCUAGUUUCUUGAUAAACACAAACCUUGAGUUCCCCUUAAUCCCAAAGCUUUAGGGUUUUGAAUUCUUUGAUGAUAAAUAGGGUUCUGAUCGAAGAAAGAGAAGAAAGGGGUUAGCAUCAUCCUGACUUGGAGCAUCCGAUUGAUAUACUUCAACCGAUUGGAGGAUAAGUUUAUUGAAGGAAAAAGCUGCUCCAUUCAUACCACUUCAACGGCACAGCAAGCCUGAAGGGGUUUUCGUGGAGAUUUACGGUUUAGUAGAGCAGAAAGUCAACACGAUGAAGAAGUGUAAGAGAAGGAAGGAAGAUAUUGCAGAGGAUUUCUGCUUCAUCUGCGAGGAUGGGGGAUUCCCUAUUAUCUGUGAUCAUAAGAGGGCUUGCAGAGAUUAUGAUGUUCCAGAGCCUUCUUUUGGGUGGAAGAUCAGAGGUAUAUGACCAAUACAGGGAUUGGCGGCUUGAUGUUGAUAAUAUGACAUAUGAGUAAUUGCUUGAACUGGGAGAUAAAAUUGGAUAUGUAAAUACUGGUUUAAGAGAAGAUGAGACAUUCCAUUGCUGCAGAAAAAUUAAGCACUCCUUUAUGGAGGAUCUGCAAUCGCAUAUUCCCACUAAAACAGAUUGGAAAUGUAGCAUUUGUCAAGAAGAAUAUGUAGUUGAUGAUGAGGUGGGAAAGCUGGACUGUAGCCACAGUUAUCACCUAUUUUGUGUAAAGCAAUGGCUUCUGCAGAAGAAUGCUUGCCCUGUCUGCAAGGCUGUUGUAGCAGCUCAAUACUAAGAUUGGAAAUCAUUCAAGAAUAUGAUGCUGAUAAUGAGAUGGGAAAGCUGGAUUGUAGCCAGAGCUGUCACAUGUUUUUUUUGAACCAGUGGCUUCUGGAGUGCUUGCCCAGCAGCCAUGCUGCCAAGUGCCAGCUCAAUAUUAAGAUUGACUUCAUUUGAACCUCAGUGUCUGCCAAUGGGUAUUGGAUCAGUGUUUCUCCUUUAUUGCUUUUUGUACAGCUUUCGACUGAAAUAAGCAUGCAUCCAAUCUUUGUUGGAACUCACAUAUAUAUGGAGGUGAAACAAGGAUCUACUGCAAUGACAAAAGCUGAGCAGUCGCAGGAUUAAUUUCAGUGAUACUGAUGAGACUGCAUCAAGACAGAUGAUGAUGAAAGAAUCUAUCCCCAAAUCCUCAAAUAAAGCCAGCAGCAAAAGUAAGAGCAUAAUUGGACUGGUAGAUGGUGAACCUGAGGAUGGAAAUAAAACAGGAAAGAAGAGAAACCUUGGAAUAAAAAUGGAAUCACCAAACCUGCAUCAAGUGUUCAGUUAAUUAUAAUGCUUCCACUACUACUUACUAUUUUCCUUUUUAUUUCUUUGCCAAUGGAGAUACUUUCUGGGAGCCAAUUUGCACUGAAAAUUGCAUUCAACACCGGAUGGGAAUGCUGUAGAUGACUUCCCUUCAUCUUAUGAGUAGGAUAAAAAGUCCUGCAGUUGGAAGAAAAUUGAGACAGUACCUACUCUGCCCAUAUUUCUGAAGUUCCAGGAUGUCAAAUACAAGGUAGUUAUGAACAAGAGAAGAAGCCCAGAUGCUCAGAAGUACAUACUCUAUGGGAUUACAAGUUCAGUACAACCGGGUUCGUGCAAUAACAUUCAGUACAACCGGGUUCGUGCAAUAACUCUAUGAGUCUAGAGUUCAUCCAAUAAGUGAAGCUGAAGAUGUUGAAAUGACAAACAAUGUAAAUGAAUCACAAAUAACAUCAAGGAUUCAAAACUAGGAAGUUUAUAUCAUGAUUGAUCUAAUCCUUGUUAUAUAUUUGAUGGAAAGAUUGCCUUGGUUGAUCAAUAUGUGGCUAGCUUUUUGUACAAGCGCAGUUGGAGGAUGUGGCCUUGUAAUAGACUAACAGUAAUAUGUGUGCAAUGUAAAGUGUGAACACUCUUUAAUGAUUGUAUUGAAUUCUUGAUUAGAAUUGCAAAUCGGAUUUUAGAUUA